CAUGCAAGUCGAACGGUAACAUUGGUGCUUGCACCAGAUGACGAGUGGCGCACGGGUGCGUAACGCGUAUGCAAUCUACCUUUUACUAGAGUAUAGCCCAGAGAAAUUUGGAAUAAUCCUCUAUAAUAUCUUUAAGUUUCAUGACUUUUAGAUUAAAGUUUUAACGGUAAAAGAUGAGCAUGCGUCCUAUUAGUUUGUAGGUGAGGUAACGGCUCACCUAGACUACGAUAGGUAGGGGCCCUGAGAGGGGGAUCCCCCACACUGGUACUGAGACACGGACCAGACUCCUACGGGAGGCAGCAGUAAGGAAUAUUGGACAAUGGACGAAAGUCUGAUCCAGCCAUGCCGCGUGCAGGAUGAAAGCCCUAUGGGUUGUAAACUGCUUUUAUACAGGAAGAAACACUCGUACGUGUACGAGCUUGACGGUACUGUAAGAAUAAGGACCGGCUAACUCCGUGCCAGCAGCCGCGGUAAUACGGAGGGUCCGAGCGUUAUCCGGAAUCAUUGGGUUUAAAGGGUCCGCAGGCGGUCUUUUAAGUCAGAGGUGAAAGCCUACAGCUCAACUGUAGAACGGCCUUUGAUACUGAAAGACUUGAGUUAUUAUGAAGUGGUUAGAAUGUGUGGUGUAGCGGUGAAAUGCAUAGAUAUCACACAGAAUACCGAUUGCGAAGGCAGAUCACUAAUAAUAUACUGACGCUCAUGGACGAAAGCGUGGGGAGCGAACAGGAUUAGAUACCCUGGUAGUCCACGCCGUAAACGAUGGAUACUAGCUGUUCGUCUAACAUUGGUUAGAUGAGUGGCUAA
rnacentral:rRNA from 1 species